rnacentral:lncRNA from 1 species
UGGGAGACGUACCUUCUCCUGGUCCCCUCCCGAGACACAGAGCUCUUGGGUGCAGGGAUGGCAGAUCCUUUACUAGUUGGGUGGCAGCCUGGGAGUGUGGGCGAGUCCUGGGCGUGUGAGUGGGAGCUGAGGCUGGGGCCCUACUGUGCCAGAACCGCAUGGGCCAGAGAAUAAGUGUGCCUGAGAAGAAGAGCAAGGUUAGCGCCACUGAGAGACCUCAUCAAUUAUGCAGAUCUGAGAGGAGCGAGUGGGUCUGAGAAAUGGGGAGAAGACAGGACGGAGCCGGGGACUGAGUCACAAAGCAUGAACCAGGAGAGUGGGUCCAGAAUCUGCCCCAUCCUGUGAGGACAGGGAGUUCAUCCGGGGAGUGACCAGGACCACUGGGGUGGGUCAGUGCUGGAAGGAGCCGCACUGGGAGCUGGACAGAUGGACACUGUCCUGGGAACUGAUGGUUACAGGCGGGGCGCUCCAUGAGGCUAGAGCUCUGUCGGCUUUGCUCACC